CAGCGGCGCAGGUCGCGCAGGGAGGCCUGAAGUGUCCGCCACUGCUCCAGCGUCAGUCCGAGGGCGCGGGCCUGUUCUUCCUCGGACUGCUGCUGG
rnacentral:tRNA from 1 species